AGCGAACGCUGGCGGCAGGCCUAACACAUGCAAGUCGAACGAACCUUUCGGGGUUAGUGGCGGACGGGUGAGUAACACGUGGGAACGUGCCUUUAGGUUCGGAAUAACUCAGGGAAACUUGUGCUAAUACCGAAUGUGCCCUUCGGGGGAAAGAUUAAUCGCCUUUAGAGCGGCCCGCGUCUGAUUAGCUAGUUGGUUGAGGUAAUGGCUCACCAAGGCGACGAUCAGUAGCUGGUCUGAGAGGAUGAUCAGCCACAUUGGGACUGAGACACGGCCCAAACUCCUACGGGAGGCAGCAGUGGGGAAUCUUGCGCAAUGGGCGAAAGCCUGACGCAGCCAUGCCGCGUGAAUGAUGAAGGUCUUAGGAUUGUAAAAUUCUUUCACCGGGGACGUUAAUGACGGUACCCGGAGAAGAAGCCCCGGCUAACUUCGUG
rnacentral:rRNA from 1 species